AUGGCCUCCUCCAUACUCUCCGACUGCUCCUCCUGCGCCACCUCCCGCCUCCUCCCCCUCCGCCGCGCCCUCCACCCGCCGCCGCCCCGCUUCCGCCCCUCCCCCGCCCCGGCGCCGUUGCCGAGGAGGCCUCUCCUCGCCGCCGCCGCCUCGCUCCCGCUCCUCCCCCGCGCGCGCCGCAUGGCCGCGCUCGCCGCCGCCUCUUCCGCCGACUCAGCCACUGUUUUGGCUGAUGCAUCUGCCAAGAUCAUCGACGGCAAGCUGGUGGCAAAGCAAAUAAGGGAGGAGGUCGGCGUUGAGAUCGCCAGGAUGAAGGACACGAUCGGAGUGGUGCCUGGGCUGGCGGUCAUCCUAGUCGGCUCGAGGAAGGAUUCCCAGACAUACGUGCGGAACAAGAAGAAGGCGUGCGAUGCGGUCGGUAUCAAGUCGUAUGAGGUUAAUUUGCCAGAGGACGCUUCCGAGUACGAGGUCAUCAAGCACAUAGCAACCUUCAACGAUGAUCCGUCGGUGCAUGGCAUCUUGGUUCAGCUGCCCUUACCUCGCCAUAUGAACGACGAGAACAUAUUGAAUGCUGUUAGUAUUGAAAAGGACGUUGAUGGCUUUCAUCCAGUGAACAUUGGACGACUUGCAAUGCAAGGUCGGGAUCCAUUCUUUGUUCCAUGCACCCCUAAAGGAUGCAUGGAGCUGCUACACAGAUCUGGAGUUGAAAUAAAAGGGAAGAGAGCUGUUGUAAUUGGAAGGAGCAAUAUUGUGGGGACGCCUGCUGCUUUACUCUUACAAAAAGCAAAUGCAACAGUGAGUAUUGUACAUUCAAAAACCAAGAACCCCGAGGAAAUAACAAGACAAGCAGAUAUUAUAAUCGCGGCUGUUGGAGUUGCUAACCUGGUCAGAGGGAGUUGGAUAAAGCCUGGAGCUGCUAUUAUUGAUGUUGGCAUCAAUCCGGUUGAUGAUCCAGCAAGCCCUCGAGGUUACCGGCUAGUUGGAGAUGUCUGCUUUGAGGAGGCCUCCAAGGUUGCAGGAGCCAUCACACCAGUUCCCGGCGGUGUCGGGCCAAUGACAAUUGCGAUGCUUCUGUCGAACACACUGGAUUCAGCUAAAAGAAUCCACAAGUUCAAGUAA
rnacentral:rRNA from 1 species